UCUCGUUUCAAGAUUCAAGAAUCCCUCUCUAAGGUCUAAAGUCGAGCUCCUUGCAGCUUGCACCAUCAUCAUCGGGUUAAAAUGGAGAAAUUCGAUUCAAACCGUCUGAAAAUCCCCCAUUUUCCACGUUGCUCUUACUCCGUACUUUACUAUCAAGAGCGAUAUUAGUAGCACGAACUUGGUAGUGUCAGAAGAAAUGCUUCAGAAAAAAAAACAGCAUUCAUGUUUCCUCAACUCUGACUGGUGAUGGAGCAGCAAAGAACAAAAAUGGGGUUGAAAGUCGUCGUAAAAUGAGCAAAGAUAAAGAUAAACACUGGGAUUUCUGGAGGAGAUUGAGGCCCUAGCGCGGUUAGAUAAUUAGAUGUCACUCAAGAAUGUCAGUCUAGUUACCAAGAUAAGUGAGUAUUAUAUACAGUUUGUGAUAUAUUAUCGCUUAAAAUCGCCCCCGGUGAUUCUAAGGCAACUCUGGAAUUUCCGUCCUCCUUCUGUUGAACUAUGCUGCAGGGAUGAUGAAUGGUUUUACAUCUCUCAUCCGCAAGUGCCAUCUAUGUUCUGCUAAGGAAUUGAUUUCUGCAUUUUCUCAGUCUGGCAAGGGUUGCACAAACUUGGACCUAUGUGGACAGGAACAAUUUUCUCCUAGGCUUCCACGUUCAGUAUCAAGAUCAAGAGACAAAGAUUAUAGAAGCAGGGAGUGGGGACAGAAUUCCUAAGCUUCAGUGAAAUUACUGGACGGCAAGAUCACCUACUGCCUCCUUUCAGGGACUAAAAAUGUUCAAAUUCUAUCUCCUCUAUAGGAGUAGAAAGCAAAUUAACAAGCACCACUACAUCUGAAGGCAUUGAAAAUCAAUAACAGAGGUCCUUUGAAGUAUCUAGUCAAGUAGUUGUCCAGACCAGCUGGCUGCUAUCAGAACUAAAGAUUAGCUUGAGGGGAACUUGUGUUACAAGACAAGCACCCAGAUUGCAACUAAGCUAGAGGAGGCAAUCAGAAGUUUGGAAUUUGUCUUCGAGCAAAUCCAGUGUAGGAGUUUUGAUGUAGCAAAGAUUAUAUUCUAGUUGUCUAAAUGCCUAUGGCAAUUGUAUGUGAAGCUUGUGCUCAAUUUCAAAUAUCGUUGCAAGGCAUAGAAAAAUAGAAUACUUUGGAUGACAACAUCUGACUUCUUUUCUUCAA